rfam:Triticum aestivum genome assembly, contig: Triticum_aestivum_CS42_TGACv1_scaffold_226872_3B
UUCCUACUCCCUCCGUCCGAAAAUACUUGUCAUCAAAAUGAAUAAAAUGGGGUGUAUCCAGAUGUAUUUCAGUUCGAGAUACAUUCCUUUUUGUUCAUUUUGAUGACAAGUGUUUUCGGACGGAGGGAGUAUUUG